AUGCAUAACACAAAGAAAGGAAAGGGAAACCUCACAGUGAUUCUGAGUAGUAUUGUGAUCUCUGAGGAUGAACAUAGACGCAAAUUUGUUCAUUUCAACUGUUCAAAAUUUCAUUUUCAACAGUACUUGAUGAACCUAAAGUCUCAAAUCAUUCAGAUGAAUGAUCUAGUCCAAGAAGAAAGGAAAAUGAUUAUCAAGAGAAUAAUAGAAAGUGUAGAGAGCAUCUUUUUGAAAAUUAGGCACUUGUAA